GUCUUAAACAUUUAUUCAACAUAAUAGCACAGACAUGCUUUCAAAGACAUUGCAUGUGCAAUAUAUGGUUGCAGAACAUUUACCGUGAAGUCCUAAGGCUUAUAAUUCUGUUUAGUAUAAUUGCUUCUAUAUACAGUUCAUGGAGAUCUCUGCUAAUGAGUUUAUGAUUUGAAUCAUGUGUGUUAAAUAAGGGAGACAUACAAAAUGUGCAGAGCAGUGGGAUCCAGGAAUAACAUUGAGAACCACUGGUCUACAGGACCAGAGAAGACAGCAAACCAUGCAGAAGAGACCCCAAAGGAUACUAAAGGACAGUACCCGCCCAGCCACAACCUGUUCACCCUGCUGCCUUCUGGAAACAAUAGAAGUUUCUGCUGCCAGACUGUAGAGCAGCCCCCCCCCCAAGUUAUCGGACGGGUAAACUCUAGUUCAUCCUUAGCACUCCUCCACUGAUUAUAAUUUAUUUCUGUUUAUUAUAAUUGCUUCUAUAUUAAUGUAUAUUGUCUGCUAUAGCAAAAGCAAGUUACAAACUCAAUUAAUACUUUAUAUUAUAUAACCUGUUACAUUGUGACAAAAUAAAUCUACCCACCUACUUUAAAGAAGAAUAAAGUGAAUGUUUUGGAAAUGCCAAGUCAAAAGUUCUGACCUUAAAAUUAUUGAAAUGUUGGGGAAGGAUGAGGAAGCAAGCAGCUCAUGUGAGGAAACCCACCAAUAUUGGUGCUAAAGCUGUUCUGUACAGAGCAAUGGGCAAAUAUUCAUCCAAGCCAAUAAGCAGGAAUGCUCAAAAGUUACUGGAAACGUUUUGUUGCAAUUAUUGCUGCUUUACUCAGCAUGGACAGCUUGUUUUUAGUAAUGCAAUUAUGUUUUUGGACUUUCUUUUUAGGACCUUGUAAAAUGUUCUAACUUUAGGGCUUAACUGUAAAUGUUCUGCAACCAUAGAUUGCACAUGCAAUGUCUUUGAAAGCAUGUCUGUGCUAUAUAUGUUGAAUAAAUGUUUAAAACUUG